AGGCAUGGGUCAUACCAACAAUGACUCCUGUUCCCUGGCUACAGUGGGAAGUGAGAGAAGGGUUGCCCCAAGAGGGGUUCUUUGAGCUCUGCUGGACCACACCAAGCUGCGAACAGCAUUUCCAUUUGAAUGGGACACCUCACAGUGAUCAGGAACUCUCAAGUCUUCAAUAAUCACAGACCCACCACUGAAACAUGGAACCUGGGCUGAAGUCCACCGCUCCUUGAGAUUCAACCAUCACCACCUGAACUGGAAGAAAACUUUCAGGAAGAGCAAUGAUUUGAAUAGGAAGCUGAGCCUUAAUGACUGAAAAGCAAUACCUAUAUGAAGGUUAUUUGUGCUGCCUCAGGAAUGUCAAGCUGAAACAUGACAGAAGGCUGAUGUCCUCUUUAGUUAAAUGUACUCUGUAAAGUUGAGCACUGCUUUAGAAGAUUCUUGGCACCAGCAAGGCUGAGUAUUCUGUGCUGUUUACAGCCUGAACUGUAACAGUGUUAUCAGGUAUUAGCAUGGGAAAAGAGCUUGAAUCAAAGAGCAGCUGUUGGCUGAUGAAAGAGCUGCAGGUAAUAAAAAGACCUAUACAGAAUCAGA